rnacentral:rRNA from 1 species
CCUACGGGUGGCAGCAGUGGGGGAUAUUGCACAAUGGGGGAAACCCUGAUGCAGCGACGCCGCGUGGGUGAAGAAGCGCCUCGGCGCGUAAAGCCCUGUCAGCAGGGAAGAAAAUGACGGUACCUGAAGAAGAAGCCCCGGCUAACUACGUGCCAGCAGCCGCGGUAAUACGUAGGGGGCAAGCGUUAUCCGGAUUUACGGGGUGGAAAGGGGGCGCAGAUGGCGAUGCAAGCCAGGAGUGAAAGCCCGGGGCCCAACCCCGGGACUGCUCUUGGAACUGCGUGGCUGGAGUGCAGGAGGGGCAGGCGGAAUUCCUGGUGUAGCGGUGAAAUGCGUAGAUAUCAGGAGGAACACCGGUGGCGAAGGCGGCCUGCUGGACUGCAACUGACGUUGAGGCCCGAAAGCGUGGGGAGCAAACAGGAUUAGAUACCCUGGUAGUC